UACGAAGGGUGCAAGCGUUAGUCGGAAUUACUGGGCGUAAAGCGUGCGUAGGUGGUUUCUUAAGUCCGUUGUGAAAGCCCUGGGCUCAACCUGGGAACUGCAGUGGAUACUGAGAGGCUAGAGUGUGUCAGAGGAUGGUGGAAUUCCCGGUGUAGCGGUGAAAUGCGUAGAGAUCGGGAGGAACAUCAGUGGCGAAGGCGGCCAUCUGGGACAACACUGACGCUGAGGCACGAAAGCGUGGGGAGCAAACAGGGA
rnacentral:rRNA from 1 species